UACGUAGGGGGCAAGCGUUGUCCGGAAUCAUUGGGCGUAAAGCGCGUGUAGGCGGUUCGGUAAGUCGGCUGUGAAAGUCCAGGGCUCAACCCUGGGAUGCCGGUCGAUACUGCCGGACUAGAGUUCGGAAGAGGCGAGUGGAAUUCCCGGUGUAGCGGUGAAAUGCGCAGAUAUCGGGAGGAACACCAAUGGCGAAGGCAGCUCGCUGGGACGUUACUGACGCUGAGACGCGAAAGCGUGAGGAGCAAACAGG
rnacentral:rRNA from 1 species